AUUGAACGCUGGCGGCAUGCCUAACACAUGCAAGUCGAACGGUAACAGGCCGCUGGGAUCCCUUCGGGGUGACCUUGGCGCUGACGAGUGGCGGACGGGUGAGUAAUGCGUAGGAAUUUACCUCAAAGCGGGGGAUAGCCCGGAGAAAUCCGGAUUAAUACCGCAUGUGCUCUACGGAGGAAAGCGGGCCUCUUCUUGAAAGCUCGGCACUUUGAGAUAAGCCUACGUCGGAUUAGCUUGUUGGUAGGGUAAAAGCCUACCAAGGCGACGAUCCGUAGCUGGUUUGAGAGGAUGAUCAGCCACACUGGGACUGAGACACGGCCCAG
rnacentral:rRNA from 1 species